GAAGAGGCUAAACCUCAGUUGUGUGAUACCUGUCAGGGGUUGCAGCUGGGGGGUCGUGGGACUUUUCGGUCAGUGCUGACACGCUGGCAUGGAGUCAGAAAUGCGCGUUGUAGUCGAAGGGCAUUGAAAGGCCCGGCACAGAGGGUGCUACCCCCGUAGACGAAACGAUGCGCACUCCAGAGAAGUAUCCCAAGUAGCACGGGGCCCGAGAAAUCCCGUGUGAAUCUGGCGGGACCACCCGCUAAGCCUAAAUAUUCCCUGGUGACCGAUAGCGGACAAGUACCGUGAGGGAAAGGUGAAAAGUACCCCGGGAGGGGAGUGAAAUAGAUCCUGAAACCGUGUGCCUACAAUCCGUCGGAGCCUCCUUGUGGGGUGACGGCGUGCCUUUUGAAGAAUGAGCCUGCGAGUUAGUGCUCAGUGGCGAGGUUAACCCGUGUGGGGAAGCCGUAGCGAAAGCGAGUCCGAAUAGGGCGUUUUAGUCGCUGGGUCUAGACCCGAAGCGGAGUGAUCUACCCAUGGCCAGGUUGAAGCGACGGUAAGACGUCGUGGAGGACCGAACCCACUUAGGUUGAAAACUGAGGGGAUGAGCUGUGGGUAGGGGUGAAAGGCCAAUCAAACUCCGUGAUAGCUGGUUCUCCCCGAAAUGCAUUUAGGUGCAGCGUCACGUGUUUCUUACCGGAGGUAGAGCUACUGGAUAGCUGAUGGGCCUCACCAGGUUACUGACGUUAGCCAAACUCCGAAUGCCGGUAAGUGAGAGCGUGGCAGUGAGACUGCGGGGGAUAAGCUCCGUAGUCGAGAGGGAAACAGCCCAGACCACCAUCUAAGGUCCCUAAGCGUGUGCUAAGUGGGAAAGGAUGUGGAGUUGCAUUGACAACCAGGAGGUUGGCUUAGAAGCAGCCACCCUUUAAAGAGUGCGUAAUAGCUCACUGGUCAAGUGAUUC
rnacentral:rRNA from 1 species